rnacentral:snRNA from 1 species
AAACUGAGACCAGACAGCAUGACAGGGCAAGGCUCAGCCAUUGCACUUUGGCUGUGCUGACCCCUGUGAAUUCCCCAAAUGUACAGUCUUGACUGCAUAAUUUAUGGUAGUGGAGGACUGUGGUCACGCUCUCCCUGC